GAUGAAGAAACGCAGCGAAAUGCGAUAAGUAAUGUGAAUUGCAGAAUUCAGUGAAUCAUCGAGUUUUUGAACGCAUAUUGCGCCCUCUGGUAUUCCGGGGGGCAUGCCUGUUCGAGCGUCAUUAAAUAACCCUCAAGCAUAGCUUGGUGUUGGGCUUUUUUACGUCCUUGACUGGGAUGGGCCUAAAAAUUAGUGGCGAUGGCUUUUUUACUUUCAAGCGUAGUAAAUCUCGUCUUGCUAAAGAGGAAAAAGAUUUUUUUUCUGCCAAAAAUUUUAACAUUUAAAGUUGACCUCGGAUCAGGUAGGAUUACCCGCUGAACUUAAGCAUAUCAAUAAGCGGAGGA
rnacentral:misc_RNA from 1 species